rnacentral:lncRNA from 1 species
CUGAGACAGCCUAAGGAAAAGGUCUGGUCAAGACUUGCUCUUGAGAAAAGACUUAAAUCUUUCUCCUGGUGACUGGAUACCCUUCCCCCUAAUUCCCAAUUGAAGUGGCCAGCUUGAGAAGACACAAAGCAGCUGACAAGAUCACCUCACAGUUCCUGGUACCCUGGUUGUCUCUCCUGGACCCUGCCAUGAGAAUGAGAGCUGGUACCAUCCAUAGUAAACUCUAAAAUGAAAGACAAGAUGUGCUUGUGGAUCAUGAAACUGAGACCCAAGCAGAUGAAGUUACUUAUACAAGGUGACACAACAAGGAAGGACCAAAACCAGCACUCAAACCCAGAAUCUUCAGAUGAAAGGGUGGAAAUAAAAGGUGCCAUGAGAGUCAUCAGGAGGAAUGAAAAAGGUUUGGGAAUAGCUGUUGUCACAUGGAAUAA